rnacentral:rRNA from 1 species
AUCCCAUUUGGGUAACUGAGUGGGGGAAGUGGCGAAAGGGGCAGUAAUACAUAGGCAACCUACCUCCGGGACGUGGAUAGCCGGUAGAGAUACCGGGUAAUACGCGGCGAGUCAGCGGGAAGGCAUCUUCCUGCUGGGAAAAGAAUUUCGCCUGGAGAGGGGCUUAUGCCGUAUUAGCUAGUUGGCGGGGUAAUGGCCCACCAAGGCGAAGAUGCGUAGCGGGUGUGAGAGCACGACCCGCGCCACUGGCACUGAGACACUGGCCAGACACCUACGGGUGGCUGCAGUCGAGGAUCUUCGGCAAUGGGCGCAAGCCUGACCGAGCGACGCCGCGUGGACGAUGAAGGCCUUCGGGUUGUAAAGUCCUGUCGAGGGGGAUAAAACCGCAAGGUUGAUAGAUCCCUGGAGGAAGCACGGGCUAAGUUCGUGCCAGCAGCCGCGGUAAGACGAACCGUGCGAACGUUGUUCGGAAUCACUGGGCUUAAAGGGCGCGUAGGCGGCCGACCAAGUCAGGGGUGAAAUCCCGCAGCUUAACUGCGGAAGUGCCUUUGAUACUGGAUGGCUCGAGGGAGAUAGGGGUCUGUGGAACGGGUGGUGGAGCGGUGAAAUGCGUUGAUAUCACUCGGAACGCCGGUGGCGAAAGCGACGGACUGGAUCUCUACUGACGCUGAGGCGCGAAAGCCAGGGGAGCAAACGGGAUUAGAUACCCCGGUAGUCCUGGCCCUAAACGAUGGGUACUAGAUUGUAGACUUGUCAUGGGUUUACAGUCGAAGCAAAAGUUUUAAGUACCCCGCCUGGGGA